UUCCCCUAGUAACUGCGAGUGAAGCGGGAAAAGCUCAAAUUUAAAAUCUGGUGGUUUUGCCAUCCGAGUUGUAAUCUGGAGAAGCGUUUUCUGUGCUGGACCGUGUACAAGUCUCUUGGAACAGAGCGUCAUAGAGGGUGAGAAUCCCGUCCAUGACACGGACACCCAGUGCUAUGUGAUACGUUUUCAAAGAGUCGAGUUGUUUGGGAAUGCAGCUCAAAAUGGGUGGUAAGCUCCAUCUAAAGCUAAAUAUUGGCGAGAGACCGAUAGCGAACAAGUACCGUGAGGGAAAGAUGAAAAGCACUUUGGAAAGAGAGUUAAACAGUACGUGAAAUUGUUGAAAGGGAAACGCUUGAAGUUAGUCGCGUCUUACUUGACUCAGCCUUGCUUCGGCUUGGUGUAUUUCAUGUGAGACGGGUCAACAUCGAUUUUGACCGGCAGACAAGGGGAGUAAGAAUGUGGCACUNUUCGGAGUGUGUUAUAGCUUAUUCUCAUAUGUGUCGGUUGGGAUCGAGGACCGCAGCGCGCCCUUGUGGCCGGAGGUUCGCCUCACGUUACGCGCUUAGGAUGUUGGCAUAAUGGCUUUAAGCGACCCGUCUUGAAACACGGACCAAGGAGUCUAACAUGCUCGCGAGUGUUAGGGUGGAAAACCCUUGCGCAGAAUGAAAGUAAAAGUUGGGAACCUCCGCAAGGGGGCGCACCGACGCCCGGCCCAGAAGUUUACGGACGGUGCUGCGGUAGAGCGCGUAUGUUGGGACCCGAAAGAUGGUGAACUAUGCCUGAAUAGGGCGAAGCCAGGGGAAACCCUGUGUGGAGGCUCGUAGCGAUUCUGACGUGCAAAUCGAUCGUCAAAUUUGGG
rnacentral:rRNA from 1 species